AGUGAACGCUGGCGGUAAGCCUAACACAUGCAAGUCGAACGGCAGCACAGUAAGAGCUUGCUCUUACGGGUGGCGAGUGGCGGACGGGUGAGGAAUACAUCGGAAUCUACUUUUUCGUGGGGGAUAACGUAGGGAAACUUACGCUAAUACCGCAUACGACCUACGGGUGAAAGCAGGGGAUCUUCGGACCUUGCGCGAUUGAAUGAGCCGAUGUCGGAUUAGCUAGUUGGCGGGGUAAAGGCCCACCAAGGCGACGAUCCGUAGCUGGUCUGAGAGGAUGAUCAGCCACACUGGAACUGAGACACGGUCCAGACUCCUACGGGAGGCAGCAGUGGGGAAUAUUGGACAAUGGGCGCAAGCCUGAUCCAGCCAUACCGCGUGGGUGAAGAAGGCCUUCGGGUUGUAAAGCCCUUUUGUUGGGAAAGAAAAGCAGCAGGUUAAUACCCCGCUGUUCUGGCGGUACCCAAAGAAUAAGCACCGGCUAACUUCGUG
rnacentral:rRNA from 1 species